CGCAGGAGUGAGAUAGGGACUUACUUGUAAAAGUAAUAAGCAGUCAGUCUUUUUCUCUCUCCUAUG
rnacentral:pre_miRNA from 1 species